rnacentral:rRNA from 1 species
GAUGAACGCUAGCUACAGGCUUAACACAUGCAAGUCGAGGGGCAGCAUUCUUCUAGCAAUAGAAGAGAUGGCGACCGGCGCACGGGUGAGUAACACGUAUCCAACCUACCGAUAACUCCGGAAUAGCCUUUCGAAAGAAAGAUUAAUACCGGAUAGUAUACGAAUAUCGCAUGAUAUUUUUAUUAAAGAAUUUCGGUUAUCGAUGGGGAUGCGUUCCAUUAGUUUGUUGGCGGGGUAACGGCCCACCAAGACUACGAUGGAUAGGGGUUCUGAGAGGAAGGUCCCCCACAUUGGAACUGAGACACGGUCCAAACUCCUACGGGAGGCAGCAGUGAGGAAUAUUGGUCAAUGGGCGCGAGCCUGAACCAGCCAAGUAGCGUGAAGGAUGAAGGCUCUAUGGGUCGUAAACUUCUUUUAUAUGGGAAUAAAGUUUUCCACGUGUGGAAUUUUGUAUGUACCAUAUGAAUAAGGAUCGGCUAACUCCGUGCCAGCCGCCGCAGUAA